rnacentral:rRNA from 1 species
GGAUUCCCCUAGUAACGGCGAGUGAAGCGGGAAGAGCUCAAAUUUGAAAUCUGGCAGUCUUCGAUUGUCCGAGUUGUAAUCUAUAGAGGCGUUUUCCCGUGCCGGACCGUGUCCAAGUCUCCUGGAAAGGAGUAUCAAAGAGGGUGAUAAUCCCGUACUUAACACGACCACCGGUGCUCUGUGAUACGUCUUCUACGAGUCGAGUUGUUUGGGAAUGCAGCUCAAAAUGGGUGGUGAAUUCCAUCUAAAGCUAAAUAUUGGCGAGAGACCGAUAGCGAACAAGUACCGUGAGGGAAAGAUGAAAAGCACUUUGGAAAGAGAGUUAAACAGUACGUGAAAUUGUUGAAAGGGAAACGAUUGAAGUCAGUCGUGUUUCUUUGGAUUCAGCCAGUUCUGCUGGUCUACUUCCUUGGAACGGGUCAACAUCAGUUUUGUCCGGUGGAUAAAGGUAGUAGGAAUGUGACUUCUCCGGAAGUGUUAUAGCCUAUUAUCACAUACACUGGGUGAGACUGAGGACUGCAGCUCGCCUUUAUGGCCGGCCUUCGGGCACGUUCGAGCUUAGGAUGUUGACAU